rnacentral:rRNA from 1 species
CGGGGUGAAGAUAAGACGGAUUAGCGGCGGACGGGUGAGUAACACGUGAGUAACCUGCCUUUUACACAGGGAUAGCCUCGGGAAACCGGGAUUAAAACCUGAUGAAACUAUCAAAUCACAUGAUUAAGAAAGUUAAAACUCCGGUGGUAAAAGAUGGACUCGCGUCCCAUUAGCUAGUUGGUGAAGGUAACGGCCCACCAAGGCAACGAUGGGUAGCCGGCCUGAGAGGGUGAACGGCCACAUUGGAACUGAGAAACGGUCCAAACUCCUACGGGAGGCAGCAGAG